rnacentral:tRNA from 1 species
UCGAACCCAGUAUCGCCCACCCGGACCGACGGCCCACCUGCGACCAGCAGGUGGGCCGUCGGCGUACGCGCCUGC